rnacentral:lncRNA from 1 species
UCCAUGUUUGCUAUGAUAACAUCACCAUGCGUGAGUCCUUUACAUUCAUAAUUAAAUACGAUGUAUGCAGGUUUAAUUACUUACUUCUGGUGUUGAUGACUAUUCCUCCCACUCGCGCAGUUAAGAAGCAUUGUAUCAAAACAAGUUGGUCCUAGUGAACAGGUAAUAUUUUUUGAAGAGAGCUGUAUCUUGUGGCUGAUUGGAUUCUGUUCUGCUUGAAUCACUUUUAACAGUUCCAAUUGUCAGUUUUAUUUGCACAUCCCCCUCCUCUCUUUAAGACUAAGUUGAUUAUGUUGGUUUUCUGUUCUCUUACUAGUUAUCAGUGAAUCUAUUGAUAUAAUUUCUCAUAAUAUAGGGAAUGGCUUAAGGAUGUGUAUCGGGCAUAAUUUCCUUGGCCAACAUCAUCUUUCCACUAGUAUUUAGUCCUCUUACAGGUAAUGAAGACUGAUAAGAACAAUCUUGUUUCAGUUUUAUACAUGAAAAUAGAAAGUGUAAACUUAAUUUUGAACUAACAACUACUCUCUGCUUCCACCAUAUUUCCUCUCUGAUGGAGCUCCAUUCCAUUUCCCUGGUUAUAGUAUCAUGUGACUUGCUUACGUAAGAAGAUCUUCCCUGUAUCAUUGAUGCUAAAUUCCUUAUUUCCAUACAGAUUAUUGUUUUUUUUCAAACACUUGGGCUACUCACAAUAACAAAUUUGUACCCAAAAUCCAAAGAUAAAAAACCCCAUGGUAGCUCAACUGGUGAAGGCCUACAAAAAAAUAUUUUACUGGUCUUUGGGGUAGGGCCCCGAGUAAAUUACUUAUACAGGAGUGUGGGGACUGAGAGCAAUGCCACAUAAGACCCAAAAACUGUAAUAAAAAAUUAGAUGAUAAACUUUAGAGCUUCUUGAACACAGAUCAUAAAAAGCUUCAUCUUUAAAGAUCAGUUUAAAUAGUAUGGGUGUAGAUAUAUAUCAUCUCUUACUUCACAUGUUUUUUCACUAUUUUUAUCUUGAUCUUGUUCUUCUUCUUCACUGCUGAUGAAAACUACCUAAUAAAUCACAACAUUUGCAAUUCAGUUAAUAGCUUUCAUACCUUAUUCUUUGUUUAAUGGUUGUGUCGGGUAGAUCCAUUUCUAUAUUUGGUUGGAGAUUACAAAUUACGGACUGUUGACACUGAAUUUGACCAUUGUAAGAUUAUUUAUAGAUCCAAGGAAGAUGAUAAUACUGCUUUGAAGUAUCUUUCCAAAAUAGAAUUCACCGAGGCCCAAACCAAGGAAACAAAUUUGAUUACAGGAUUAGAUGAUAACAUUUUUUUCUUUAUUUUUCUAUUGUGGAAACAAAUUUGAUUACAGGAUUAGAGUUUUAGGUUCAUUUGCUUAUCAUAUUACCAUGCAGUACAACUUUCUCAUCUUUCUUAUGGAUAGAUCUUGAUUCAUUGUAUUGUGAUUCACUUGUUUUCUUCUGUUGCUUAAGCUAUCUCCAUCUGCUGUUUUGUUCUUGCAGUGCCUCACGUUGGUGGAUUAUUAUGCUCCUCUUUUCUUUUUUGAGAUUUCCUCGGUACAACCUAGAGAGUUCUGUCGAUAGGUCAAUCUCUGUGAACAAGUGGCUUUAAUUUCGUUGAAGUUAAAAGAUCCUGACACACUGGUAUGUUCUUGCAUCAUCAUCUGGUCAUAGAAAUUCUGCUUGUCUUUGUGUAUUGAUUUUGGCAUUAAGUGCCUCUGGUGACCUAUUUGCUUUAUUUUUUUGACUUUGCUAUUAUUUUUAAAUAUAUGCAGGAAGACUGCUUCUACGACCUGCCUAACAAUACUGAGUAUCAAAUUUUUGUGCUACGUUUACAGAAGACAAGGGACGAAAUUAUGAAGUGUACUCUCUCUAUAUAUGUAGAUAUAUACUUUGAUUGAAGAACUGUGGUAGCCUUAGAUGGUUAAUUGUAAAGAUAAUGAAUGAUUAUAUAGUGGAUGAUUUUAUUAAGUUAAAAAUAUUUUAGUUUUU